UACGAAGGGGGCUAGCGUUGCUCGGAAUCACUGGGCGUAAAGGGUGCGUAGGCGGGUCUUUAAGUCAGGGGUGAAAUCCUGGAGCUCAACUCCAGAACUGCCUUUGAUACUGAAGAUCUUGAGUUCGGGAGAGGUGAGUGGAACUGCGAGUGUAGAGGUGAAAUUCGUAGAUAUUCGCAAGAACACCAGUGGCGAAGGCGGCUCACUGGCCCGAUACUGACGCUGAGGCACGAAAGCGUGGGGAGCAAACAGGGAUUAAGAAACCCA
rnacentral:rRNA from 1 species